GGAAAUGCAAGAUGUCACUUUUUUAUACAUAAAAGUAACUAGAUAUUCUGCACAUUGCAGCACUUUGUGGACCACUUUCCAGGACAUAUUUUCUCUCCCAGCUGUCAAAAUAUUUAAUGCUUUGAAUUAGCAUUUCAGUUAAGUGCUGUAUUUUGUUUCUGCAGUUUUGAGAAGUCAUACCUUGGUCACAUAAUAGCAGAUUUCUGUGAACUUCUGGGAUAAACCGUGGCUUUAUUCAGGGUACUCAAAGCCUAAAGUGCUGUGAUUUUCAAAAGUGCACUGAGGAGCUCAGGCUGUAAGUUCACCUUCCUGUGUUGGACAUGUGGACGGAAUUAUCACUUUCAAGCUCUAGCUGUGCCUUUUGGGAAGAGAAUGUGAACAGAUGAAAGGAAGGAAAAAUUCCUUUCCAGCUGGAAAGAAAGAGUGGGUGCAGACAUGGGGAUCAGCAGAGCUCAAAAUGAGAGCACUUAUGGGAAAGGGAAGAGCCUUCAUCAAGCUGCGGGUCACCUCUAGCUUGUGCAUUGUGGAAUAAAACUGUCCUGAGGCAAAGGAAGCAGGAGAAGAAAGCAAUGAUGCCCAGAUCAUAGCUAUCUGGGUACUUCAGGUAGCCAGCAGAAAGGAGUUCCAGCAUCAGUGCUCAAGACCAGUGAAUGGAAAGUAGCAGAAGUUGGAAAGAAAGCUACAGGGGGAUCGAUUUGCAGCCAGUGCUAGUUGGAAUAGCAAAAAGGAGAGAAAUCCCUGGAAGCAGCAGGAGAGUUGAGCCUGGCAGGACAGGAGGAGAAAGGACUUGAUAAGAAGAUGCAGCUUUUUCCUUUGCUUUCCUGAUGAGUUGAACUCAAAGCAGCAGCACACUUCUACUGCAGAAGGAAGCUGUCUGACUUUUUGUCUAGAGCCUGGCACCGUGACUGCUCUGUUGGCCCCAUAGUAGCUAGAGGAACCCAGAGGUCUCCUGGGCGGCAGCAGGACCAGCCACAAUGGGCACCAUCUCAUCACGUUCAACAAUCUCAUCCAUUCCUUAGCGACCAUGCAAAUACCACAGUAACCCUAGGUGGUGUCAGCUGCUCCAUUUGACACACCUCAGAGGGCUAACAACUUACUGUUCAGGAAGAAUCUAACCAAAUGGAUAAAGCGAAUUCCCAUGAGAAAGCAGUCCCAAUUCAUUAAUGUAUUCCUAUGGCUAUGGAUUCCCUUGAGUUUCUGAAAAAAGCAGAAGAUGAUAAACCUAACAUUUCUAGGGAAACUUAGUAAGAACAGAAACAUGCAGUUAGAAAACAGUCUCCCAAAGAUAUGUCACAAUUUUGAGAAGUGUGUCAAGACCUGAUUUUGCCUUAUAUAGAAGUGAUAAGAUGUCUUAAAAGCAGAAAAAUAUGUAUAAGUUGUAGAAGAAUGACUUUCCAAGACACUGAAUGAUGAAUUAUGUGCAUUCAUAGUGCCAGUAAGUUGGUACUAUUCCCAAUUAAACCAGCUACCUCUGAAGAAUCUAUCCCAUUUUUACAAGAGGGACUGAAGCAGGAGAAUCCAUUACAGACACUGCUAUGUUGCUCAAAACAGGACAGAAUUAAAUCAUACAAGCACUAAAAUCAGCUUUCUAGUAUGUAUAUUUUACAACACAGUAUGAUUUGUCCCCCUGGCUUCUGAAAAAGAGAGUGAAAUAUCUUGGAAAUACUGCUAGUAUUUUCAAGAAAAAUAAUUUUUCUUGGGCAUAGCAAAUAGCUUUUGAAUAUUAAAAGCAGACCAAAGCAAUUAGCAAAAGUUGGUUUUCCUCAUGUAUUGGGCAUGAAUGUUCCUUUGGGUACAUUAGUACAUGGGCCUUGCAGAGCUCAGUGUUAUAUCACAAAACAAUGCCUGCAAUGGAUAUAAAAAAGAACAUAAAAUACGGAUUAGGGUCGCCUUGCAAGGAAAUAACUAUGAAGAGGUGGGAUGUGAAUCGAAACCAGUAUUUCCUUGUCUAAAGGUCAGCUGUGUUAAAAAUGGUGAGAAAUUUAGAGACGACUAAGUUCAAAGUUAUAGCCCUCAAGACAAUGCAUAGUCCAUCAGGGCAGUAAACCUCCAAAGGCCCUAAGACAGCUUUUUCCAGGAGUUUAGUUGCCAGAGUUUCUUUCCUCGAGGUAAGCUCUCAGCAAGCAUUCAGAUUCAAACACUUCUGAGCUUCCUGAGAAAAGAUAAACCACAGGUCUAGAAACAGAAAUAACAAGUGUCAGUUCAAGAGUAGAAGAAUAUCUUAAGCUUUCUAUCUUUGCUUAGCACAGUCAGAGAAAGUAUCACCUUUCUGCAUAAAAGGUCAUAACAACCACUGUGUUAGUGCCCUGCUAUAUUGAAACUACAUCUGACAGCACGCACAUGCCAACAGAAACAGGAAUGAUAUAGUGAGGAAUAACUACAGUUAUGAAAGGGCACUAUUUGUCACUGCUUGAGUCAUUUGGCUCUGUCAGUGAUGUACAAGUGAAGAAAAGAUUGCUGCUGAGUCUUGUUGUCAGUGCCUAUAACCUCUAAAGCCAGUGACAGAAUAAAAAGUGGGACCAUUUUAGGAAAUUGCAUUAUAGUCUAGUCUUUGCUCUGGGGACUUCCUUCAGAGCAUAGGUGCAUUAGAAACAGGAAACUGUUACUUUACCUGCAAAGAAUUCUCUUGAAGGAAGGACUUGAUCCCGGAGACCAUGCAGCAUACUGUAGACACUCAUGCUGUUUGAAGAAGACUUGUCUAUGUACAGAUACCUUAUCUUCCAGACACAGAAGUAACUGAUGUCCAAAGCAAGACUGACAGAUCAAGAUUUUCUCAUUCAUACAACAUACAGGAACCUAAACUGCAUCUAGACACAGACAUAACAAGAUCACACUGCAAGUGUCCGCAAUCUUGCACUCCUAUCUGCUAAUACAGGUUCUGCCUUUGCUAGGCAGGUUCCCCAGACUUGUUGCUGAAUUGUAAAGAACAAGCAUCCUUCUGAAAAGAAGGCUGUGGCAGGUUAGAAACAAGUCUAAUGUUAACGUGGUUCAUACUUGACAAAAAAAUGCAUGUGGUAGACUAAGGGCAUAUAAUCUCUUUAUCAUUAUUAUUCAAUAAAGG
ensembl:lncRNA